rnacentral:rRNA from 1 species
GCCGACAAUCAAAUCACAACGAACGCACCCAACAUCGCCAGGCUUGUAAAGCCAAGCAGGUUCGAGCCUGGUGUAGCAUUUGCCCGUGAAACUGUCUGGGAAUGCCAGGAUGCUGUGGGCU